GCGGGUGUAGUUUAAUGGUAAAACUGAAGCUUCCCAAGCUUCCGUCGUGGGUUCGAUUCCCAUCACCCGCUCCA
rnacentral:tRNA from 3 species